rnacentral:rRNA from 1 species
GAUGAACGCUGGCGGCGUGCCUAAUACAUGCAAGUCGAGCGAACAGAUGAGGAGCUUGCUCCUCUGACGUUAGCGGCGGACGGGUGAGUAACACGUGGAUAACCUACCUAUAAGACUGGGAUAACUUCGGGAAACCGGAGCUAAUACCGGAUAAUAUAUUGAACCGCAUGGUUCAAUAGUGAAAGACGGUUUUGCUGUCACUUAUAGAUGGAUCCGCGCCGCAUUAGCUAGUUGGUAAGGUAACGGCUUACCAAGGCAACGAUGCGUAGCCGACCUGAGAGGGGGAUCGGCCACACUGGAACUGAGACAAGGUCCAGACCCCUACGGGAGGCAGCAGUAGGGAAUCUUCCGCAAUGGGCGAAAGCCUGACGGAGCAACGCCGCGUGAGUGAUGAAGGUCUUCGGAUCGUAAAACUCUGUUAUUAGGGAAGAACAAAUGUGUAAGCAACUAUGCACGUCUUGACGGUACCUAAUCAGAAAGCCACGGCUAACUACGUG